rnacentral:rRNA from 1 species
UGGCUCAGAUUGAACGCUAGCGGGAUGCUUUACACAUGCAAGUCGAACGGCAGCGCGAAGAGAGCUUGCUCUUUUUGGCGGCGAGUGGCGAACGGGUGAGUAAUAUAUCGGAACGUGCCCAGUAGCGGGGGAUAACUACGCGAAAGCGUGGCUAAUACCGCAUACGCCCUACGGGGGAAAGGGGGGGAUCGCAAGACCUCUCACUAUUGGAGCGGCCGAUAUCAGAUUAGCUUGUUGGUGAGGUAAAGGCUCACCAAGGCCGCGAUCUGUAGCUGGUUUGAGAGGACGACCAGCCACACUGGGACUGAGACACGGCCCAGACUCCUACGGGAGGCAGCAGUGGGGAAUUUUGGACAAUGGGGGAAACCCUGAUCCAGCCAUCCCGCGUGUGCGAUGAAGGCCUUCGGGUUGUAAAGCACUUUUGGCAGGGAAGAAAAGGCGCCGGAUAAUACC